ACAACUUCUCUCCAAAUUUGAAAAUUCACACUCUCAUUAAAUCUCCUUCUCUCCAUUACCUCUUCUCCAUCUCAAACACCAUCGUCACCUCUUCUCUUUCUCUGUAUCUAAUCAUUUGGGUUCUAGUUCGUUCAUGAACGGAUCUAGGAUGAAGGAUUUUUGAAAUACAUUGAGUUGAGGCAGAAUUUUGGUUUCAUCUUCUUCAUUGAGAUAUGAAUUAGGUUUCAUGAAUUUUUU
rnacentral:lncRNA from 1 species